AUACGGAGGGUGCAAGCGUUAAUCGGAAUUACUGGGCGUAAAGCGCGCGUAGGCGGCUAGGUAAGUCGGGUGUGAAAUCCCGGGGCUCAACCCCGGAACUGCACUCGAUACUGCCUGGCUAGAGUCUCGGAGAGGAAGGCGGAAUUCCCGGUGUAGAGGUGAAAUUCGUAGAUAUCGGGAGGAACACCAGUGGCGAAGGCGGCCUUCUGGACGAUGACUGACGCUGAGGUGCGAAAGCGUGGGGAGCAAACAGGAUUAGAAACCCCAGUAGUCC
rnacentral:rRNA from 1 species